CCAAUAGCGUAUAUUAAAGUUGUGUGCAGUUAAAAAGCUCGUAGUUGAACUUCAGACCUGGCUGGGUGGUCCGCUUAACGGCGUGUACUGCUUGGCUGGGCCUUACUUCUUGGUGAGCCGGGCGUGCCCUUUAUUGGUGUGCGUCGGGGAACCAGGACUUUUACCUUGAGAAAAUUAGAGUGUUCAAAGCAGGCCUAUGCCUGAAUACAUUAGCAUGGAAUAAUAGAAUAGGACGUGCGGUUCUAUUUUGUUGGUUUCUAGAGUCGCAGUAAUGAUUAAUAGGGACAGAUGGGGGCAUUCGUAUUGCGACGUUAGAGGUGAAAUUCUUGGAUCGUCGCAAGACGGACAGAAGCGAAAGCAUUUGCCAAAAAUGUUUUCAUUAAUCAAGAACGAAAGUUAGAGGUUCGAAGGCGAUCAGAUACCGCCCUAGUUCUAACCAUAAACGAUGCCAGCUAGCGAUCCGCCGAAGUUCCUCCGAUGACUCGGCGGGCAGCUUCCGGGAAACCAAAGCUUUUGGGUUCCGGGGGAAGUAUGGUUGCAAAGCUGAAACUUAAAGGAAUUGACGGAAGGGCACCACCAGGAGUGGAGCCUGCGGCUUAAUUUGACUCAACACGGGAAACCUCACCAGGCCCAGACACCGGAAGGAUUGACAGAUUGAUAGCUCUUUCUUGAUUCGGUGGGUGGUGGUGCAUGGCCGUUCUUAGUUGGUGGAGCGAUUUGUCUGGUUAAUUCCGAUAACGAACGAGACUCUAGCCUGCUAAAUAGGCGUACCUUAUGGUAUCGCGAAGGCCCCCGGCUUCGGCCGGUGGGUUUUUACUACCAACG
rnacentral:rRNA from 1 species